GCCACCAGGACCACACCAUAAACCUUUUUUAUGCAGUUGCAAUCAGCGUCAGUAUAACAAAUGUAAAUCAUUUACAACUUUCAACAACGGAUCUCUUGGUUCUGGCAUCGAUGAAGAACGCAGCGAAAUGCGAUACGUAGUGUGAAUUGCAGAAUUCAGUGAAUCAUCGAAUCUUUGAACGCACAUUGCGCCCUUUGGUAUUCCAAAGGGCAUGCCUGUUCGAGCGUCAUUUGUACCCUCAAGCUUUGCUUGGUGUUGGGCGUCUUUUGUCUUUGGCCUCGCCCAAAGACUCGCCUUAAAACGAUUGGCAGCCGGCCUACUGGUUUCGCAGCGCAGCACAUUUUUGCGCUUGCAAUCAGCACAAGGACGGCAAUCCAUCAAGACUACAUUUUUACGUUUGACCUCGGAG
rnacentral:rRNA from 1 species